GCCCAGGUGGCGGAAUUGGUAGACGCACUACCUUGAGGUGGUAGCGCUUUAGGGCGUAGGGGUUCGAGUCCCCUCUUGGGCACCA
rnacentral:tRNA from 2 species